GUGGGCGCACUGCCAGUCCGAAUAUUCUGUUACAGAUGGUCCGUCCACAUCAGUAUACAAUAGACACACUCACGGCGGUGCCGCGCAGUAAGGGACAGGGAGAAGGGAACUGAGAGCAAACGGCACAGCCGAGCGUCGUAGCUGCCAGCGACCACACUUUCGUGACACACAGCGUUUGGGCAGAAUAGCACUUUGAACCGUAACUUCUUGUUGGAGUCCUCAUUUUCUUAGUCCAUCUCAGUUCAUGACUAUCAUGGGAAGCAGAAGAUAACCAGGAUUGCAGAACAAGCCUCUGACUGUCUUUGAGUGGUCCAGCCAAAGCCCAGACUUAAACCCGAUAGAACAUCUGUGCAGAGACUUGAGAAGAUAGCACUUAGAUGCUUCUCAUCCAAUCUAAUGGAACUUGAGAGGAUCUGGCAAGAACAAUAUGCUAAACUGCCCAAAUCCUUGUGUGCAAAGUUUGUACAGAAUAACCUGUGAUGACCCAAAGCUGUAAUUGCUGCCAAAGGGGCUUCUA